AUGGUAGACAGAACCUACUACACCGAUGGCUCUGAGUUAACUUAUAAGGAGAAAACUCAUCUGGUCGGAUUUUGUACUGAUAUUGAGAAUUACAAUAUCUACAAUCAAACUCCUCAUCAUUAUGGUCCUCCAUACGUGCCACUAGUGCACGUGUUGAACUACGGUAACUACUAUGGAGAUACCCUGGUAAGAUUUCUUACUAUUACGACAUCCGUGCAUAUUUUGCAUAGUUCUAAAACUAGUGCAUUAUCAUUGCUAACUAUGAAGUUAUUACUAUGUUUUUCAACAGAUAAUCCUAGAGGAUUGUGUGCCUCAUUUCAUGUAUCAGAAUGGUAG
rnacentral:rRNA from 1 species